rnacentral:rRNA from 1 species
UUCCGGUUGAUCCCGCCAGAGGCUACUGCUAUCGGGGUCCGACUAAGCCAUGCGAGUUGAGAGGGGUAAGCCCUCGGCAUAUUGCUCAGUAACACGCGGAUAACCUGCCCUUGGGUUUGGGAUAACCCCGGGAAACUGGGACUAAUACCGGAUAGAUCAAAGAAACUGGAAUGUUCUCUGAUCGAAAGCUCCGGCGCCCAAGGAUGGGUCUGCGGCCUAUCAGGUAGUAGUGGGUGUAACGUACCUACUAGCCUACGACGGGUAAGGGUUGUGAGAGCAAGAGCCCUGAGAUGGAUUCUGAGACAUGAAUCCAGGCCCUACGGGGUGCAGCAGGCGCGAAAACUUUACACUGCGGGAAACCGCGAUAAGGGGACCCCGAGUGCCAGCACCUAGUGCUGGCUGUCCAGCUGUUCAAAUAACAGUUGUUAGCAAGGGCCGGGCAAGACCGGUGCCAGCCGCCGCGGUAACACCGGCGGCCCGAGUGGUAGCCGUUAUUAUUGGGUUUAAAGGGUCCGUAGCCGGCCUAUUAAGUCUCUUGGGAAAUCUGGCGACUCAAUCGUCAGGCGUUCAAGAGAUACUGGUAGGCUUGGGACCGGGAGAGGUGGGAGGUACUCCAGGGGUAGGGGUGAAAUCUCGUAAUCCUUGGGGGACCACCGAUGGCGAAGGCAUCCCACCAGAACGGGUCCGACGGUGAGGGACGAAAGCUGGGGGCACGAACCGGAUUAGAUACCCGGGUAGUCCCAGCCGUAAACGAUGCUCGCUAGGUGUCAGGUGCGGUGCGACCGCAUCUGGUGCCGCAGUGAAAACUUGAAGCGAGUCACCUGGGAAGUACGGUCGCAAGGCUGAAACUUAAAGGAAUUGGCGGGGGAGCACUACAACGGGUGGAGCCUGCGGUUCAAUUGGAGUCAACGCCGGG